GAAGUCAGGUCAUAGAAGGUCAGAUCGUUUGUGUAUUUACAUCUGGAGUACAUGAAUUAAAUGAAUCAGGUUAGUGUCUUGUGUGAGCCUCGUUUUGUGGCGUUACAGGGCAUGAAAAUUAAAUGACAAGACUAUAAGCGUAGAUGUUGAUGUACCGGGUGGCUUGGACAGGGGUUCGACUCCCCUCGACUCCACUA
rfam:Leuconostoc sp. DORA_2 Q611_LSC00071, whole genome shotgun sequence.